AACUUCUCAGCCGCUGAGAACCAAAAUGAAACCUUCCUCCCCUAAGUAGUCUCUUACAGCUGACUCAUCACAGAUAAGAAGCUAGCGCAGAGACCUUCUCCAGCCUUGUCUCCCUCCUUCCCUCCCUGGGCUCAGCAAGGGGAAUGGCUCUCCAAGUCAAGCUGUCUGUCUUCUAGAAAGAGUCCGUCACCUUAAGUACCAGCAAAUAGCUCACAGCAUUGCCGAGAGAACUCCACACGGAAGAGGAUCUAGUGGAGGAGAAAGGCAAAGGGCUUUCCAGGCAGAUGAAGUGGUGGGUGGCACGGUUGACGGACAUACCCCACCAUGAAGAGAUUAUCUUGCAAGGCCUCCCCAGUGGUUGUCUGAUGCCUAAUAUGCAUAGGCAGCUGAGCUGUCCCUCUGCAAGACAGCCAUGUCCCAAGGUGACCGAGAAGAAGAAAUGGCAGAUUGCAGGACAGGUUCUGGUGGAUAAAGAGCAGUGGGCAGAGAGUGGAGCAAGCCAUUGCAGACACCAGAGACGUGGGGAAUGGUCAGGGAAUCUGCAACUUCUUGGUUCUUGACAGAUACACCAAGUGUCAGAUGACAGGUUGAUGUGAGGCCAUGCUAUCUCAGUGUUGGGCAUCCAUCUCAAUGGGGUCACUGUCACACACCUUCCUU
rnacentral:lncRNA from 1 species